rnacentral:rRNA from 1 species
CCUGACGAACAUAGCCCGCCGGAACCACCCCUUCCCAUCCCGAACAGGACCGUGAAACGGCGGCACGCCGAUGAUAGUGUGGAUUACCCAUGCGAAAGUAGGUCAUUGUCAGGC